GUGAUAAAUGACAUAGAAUACAAUGUUGAUACAUGACUAAACUGUAUUUCUUUGGUCAUGUAUCAACAUUGUAUUCUAUGUCAUUUAUC
rnacentral:pre_miRNA from 1 species